GGGCGUAGAGGUGGAGACAAGCCGUCAUAAUUAUCACAAAGAAGAGGAUAACAAUCGCGGUUAGCAUAAUCCUACCGCUUAAAGAAUAGCCUUUGCUGUAGUAUUCAUUGCUGGGAAUUCCUUGGUCUGAAUCCAUAGUGAGAGUGUUUGGUGAGAAAGAAAGAGGAGAGUGGAAGGGGGCUUUUAGUAGGUGAGAGAUCAGAAAGGAGUAAGAGAAGAGGAG
rnacentral:misc_RNA from 1 species